rnacentral:ncRNA from 1 species
GCUAAAGUGCGGAUUGUAAUGCAAAAAGAUAAAGCCACGCGCCUGAUCAAUCGCAUGAAAUAGCGGGUUCCAAUCGAACAGGACCAGCAUGGACGAUGGCAAAGAGUUCGCCACAAACAUCUUGCCCGACGCGAUCAUGUUCGCCCGCGA